rnacentral:rRNA from 1 species
GAUCCUGGCUCAGGAUGAACGCUGGCGGCGUGCUUAACACAUGCAAGUCGAACGGAGUUUACUUAACAGAUUCCUUCGGGAUGACGUUUUUUAAACUUAGUGGCGGACGGGUGAGUAACGCGUGGGUAACCUGCCUUACACAGGGGGAUAGCAGUUGGAAACGACUGGUAAUACCGCAUACCUUACAUUAUUCGCAUGUUUGAUGUAAGAAAGAUUUUAUCGGUGUAAGAUGGACCCGCGUCUGAUUAGCUAGUUGGUGUGG